rnacentral:rRNA from 1 species
UAGGGAAUCUUCGGCAAUGGACGAAAGUCUGACCGAGCAACGCCGCGUGAGUGAAGAAGGUUUUCGGAUCGUAAAACUCUGUUGUUAGAGAAGAACAAGGACGUUAGUAACUGAACGUCCCCUGACGGUAUCUAACCAGAAAGCCACGGCUAACUACGUGCCAGCAGCCGCGGUAAUACGUAGGUGGCAAGCGUUGUCCGGAUUUAUUGGGCGUAAAGCGAGCGCAGGCGGUUUCUUAAGUCUGAUGUGAAAGCCCCCGGCUCAACCGGGGAGGGUCAUUGGAAACUGGGAGACUUGAGUGCAGAAGAGGGGAGUGGAAUUCCAUGUGUAGCGAUGUAAUGCGUAGAUAUAUGGAGGAACACCAGUAGCGAAGGCGGCUCUCUGGUCUGUAACUGACGCUGAGGCUCGAAAGCGUGGGGAGCAAACAGG